UGAUCCUCCUGCCUCAGCCUCCAGGUAGCUGGGACUACAGGUGCCACCACACUGGGCUCACCUCCUUCAUUUUACAGCUAAGGAAAUGGAAGUCCAAUGAAGGGACGACUUGCUCAGAGAACCAGCAGGGAGAGGGAGGAACUCUUACAAGGUUCCACAGGAGAGACAGAGUUGAAGAUCAAUCAAUAAACAACGGGGAAAGGUGUGAAGUAACGACUGAGCCCUUCCACAGAUUGUCUCCCUAGUUCGACUGCCACCCGCACCCCAAGGGGCCCACUGGACGCUGCCCGCGCAUGCCCCAUCCCGUUCGUGCCCCCGCGUGGCCGCCUGCAGUCUCGCGGAUGCGCCAGGUCACGAGUGCGCCACCGCGCGCCCCGCGCUGCGUCCCCGCAGACCUGCGCGCCUCUGCUCUGCCCGGCUGUGCGCCUCCAACCCCGCGCUUCCGCCUUUUUCCACAGGAAUCCGAAAUCAGAUUCAGCUGUGAAGCGCGGUUUCGGAUCCUCUUUCGCUUCUCUAUCUCGAGAAACUUGAAACUGUGUCCUCUACGGUUGCAUCAGAGGGCAUCUUGAGAGUGGAGGAGGGCUGCUGAGCCCGCCGCAGGGUUCCGCCGGGCCGGGAGGUCUUGCUCAACCUGAACGUUGCGGGGAGAUGGGUGUUCGCGGAGGGAAUGGGCCCUGGCGGCCCUAGAGCCAUCCCCGAGCGCCUCCCACCGCCAGCGGACUUGCUGUUAAAAAUGCAAUCGACGCGUCCCGUGAGUCAGAAUGAGGGUGACUACUUAUGGAAGAGGAAGGAGAGACGGGGAAGGGGCGCGAGGAGACUUCUGAGCUGGCUGGCCAAGUUCUUUUUCUUGGUCUCGGAGACAGUUCACUUUGUAGUAGUUAGUUCAGCCAUACGUCAAGUCCAUGGGAUUCUGUAUCCGUGAUUUAUUUUACAAUAAAAAUAUGUUUAAAAUAA